CAACAACAACAACACAUUCCAUCAGUGUCAACACAGGCUCUUCUGUCAAAAUGAUGAAGAUCGGAUCAUUCUCUGGAUAAUUUUGGUGAGGGAGAACCAAUCACUUUCUGGGAAGAAGAUGAUCAAAGUCCUGGAAUGAGAACCGACACCACAACUCUCCUGAUGAAAAUGAAAAUGGAUCAUCUCCAAGCAGAACUGAAAUAUGAGCGCAGAUGCAGACAGCUGGCAGAGAGGGAACUGAAACAGAUGAAAGCGUCUAUCCUCACGGAAUGCUGACACCAAAAUUGGAAGCAUCUGGGAGGCCUUGUUUUUUGUUGGUGAUGUCGGGUCCGGGUGCCGUCGUCGAUGGAACCGGGGCUGCCUCAGCUAGCUCAUCGUGCUUCCACACCCGAGCUGGUUCGAGAGAUUUUUCUUGCCCCUGUGGGCUUGGCAGGUGCCCACCCAACGUCAUUCUUCAGCCGGCCAUCAGGCUCCCACGCCUCAGCCGAUUCAUCAGGCUCCCACGUCUCAGCGGGAUCG